rnacentral:lncRNA from 1 species
CAGCAGUUCCAGGCCGGCUCCAGCCUAGCCAAAGCAGCUAACUUCUCUGCUGUCUCGUGGGCUGAACCUCACCGUUUCCCAAGAGGAGCUGCCUGGCAAUGGUAGCAGGUGAAGGUCAUGGUGAAGAAGAUGCAGAUAUUGGCAAUUUGGAGCAUUAGAUGAACUAAUUACAACGUUAACCUAAGGAACAGUGCAACAGAAAAUGGGCUAAGACAUGGAGCAAGGGGCAG